AGUAUGCCUCCACUGAGAACUGUAUAUUGGGUUCAGAUUAUUUUGGUUUAUGGAUAUCUGGCAAAUCAGAUUUUCCUUGUUUUCUCCUUAACUUUCCAGCACAUGUAUAUUUGGUUUGCUCUCUUGGUUAACUCCAGUUCUUCCAGUUACUGCCUGAUUAGCUGCUCUACAGGAUUACUCAACAAGAUUAGAAGGGGAAAAAAAAGGAAAAUCCCUUCCAUCUGCCUACCUGCCAGAGGAUCCCCACAGUUCUACACCUGUGCUCAUCUUUGACAAUCUGGAUAGCAAUUUAUAACAACAAUAUACUAUCAGUGGAUACUGUGUAACAGGUAUGCACAGGUGUGGGAAGGUUUGGUCACAUCGUCCGAAGUGAAGCGGCGACUAUUGCCCAACAGCUUAAUUUUCAAGCCACAGAAAGUCACUAUUUGGAAACUCAUAUGGACCUGUAUCCUGUGUUGGUUAGGCUGCAUUUUUGCAAUAAGCCAGCUGGAUAUUUCUGCAGGGGACGUUGACCGUAUUCCCAUGUUUGGAAACUCAGAUAAGCGCUCACAAAGAUUGUUUCAAAGGUUUGUGGAAAAGCCUGCAGACCAUGGACUCUUGCCAAGACAUAAGCGUAAUGUUUUUCUGUCCAGUGGACUACGCCUCUGCAGUCAAGAAACAGUGCAGCAAGCCGUCAGUAACCACCUGAAAUACUAACAGCUCAGAGCAUGUCAGGAAAUCGUGUGGGAGGCUUUCAAAACCUUCUUGGAUCGCCUCCCAAAUCAGGACGAAUACAAGAGCUGGAUGAGCCAGUGCCAGACAGAAAGACUCUCUGUACAGGAGAUUGGCGCUGCCUUUAGCCAAUCAGAAGAACACUUAGCACUUACC